rnacentral:rRNA from 1 species
GACGAACGCUGGCGGCGUGCUUAACACAUGCAAGUCGAACGGAAAGGCCCUGCUCUUGUGGGGUGCUCGAGUGGCGAACGGGUGAGUAACACGUGAGUAACCUGCCCUUGACUUUGGGAUAACUUCAGGAAACUGGGGCUAAUACCGGAUAGGAGCUCCCGCUGCAUGGUGGGGGUUGGAAAGUUUCGGCGGUUGGGGAUGGACUCGCGGCUUAUCAGCUUGUUGGUGGGGUAGUGGCUUACCAAGGUUUUGACGGGUAGCCGGCCUGAGAGGGUGACCGGCGACAUUGGGCCUGAGAGACGGACCAGACGGCUACGGGAGGCAGCAGUGGGGAGUAUGGCGCAAUGGGGGGAAGCCUGAUGCAGCAACGUCGCGUGCGGGAUGACGGCCUACGGGUUGUAAACCGCUUUCGACUGUGACGAGGCGUGAGUGACGGUAAUGGGUAAAGAAGCACCGGCUAACUACGUG